rnacentral:ncRNA from 1 species
AAACGCGAGGCCUCGCAAGACUCUAGGACAGGUGAUGCAUGGCCGUCGUCAGUUCGUGGUUUGAAUUGUUCCCUUAAGUGGGGUAACGAACGCAACCCUCGUUGUGUGUUACAAGUGUCACACGAUACUGCCCCCGCCAAAGAACAUAAUUAUCAAUUAUCAAUUACGAAUUACGAAUGAAAAUACAAAUAAAAAAUGUGUUUAAAUUCGUAAUUCGUAAUUCGUAAUUUUUAAUUGUUUUUUUCGGCGGGGGAGGAAGGAGAGGAUGACGCCAGGUCAGCAUGUCCCUUGAUACCUUGGGCUACACACAUAAUACAAUGGCCACUACAACGCGCAGCGACGAGGCGACUCUGAGCUAAUCGUCCAAAAGUGGCCCCAGUUCGGAUUGGAGUCUGCAACUCGACUCCAUGAAGUUGGAAUUGCUAGUAAUCACAGGUCAGCUAAACUGUGGUGAAUACGUUCUCAAGUCUUGUACUCACCGCCCGUCAAGUCAAGGGAGCCGGGAGUACCCGAAGUCUCUACAUAAGUAGGGCCUAAGGCAAGCUCGGUGACAGGGACUAAGUCGUAACAAGGCACGGCUAGCGGAAGCUGGUCGUGGAAUAAUUCAAUU